rnacentral:rRNA from 1 species
UUUUUAGCAUGGGAUAAUGGAAUAGGACGUGUGGUUCUAUUUUGUUGGUUUCUAGGACCGCCGUAAUGAUUAAUAGGGACAGUCGGGGGCAUCAGUAUUCAAUUGUCAGAGGUGAAAUUCUUGGAUUUAUUGAAGACUAACUACUGCGAAAGCAUUUGCCAAGGAUGUUUUCAUUAAUCAGGAACGAAAGUUAGGGGAUAAUGCAAUAGGACGUGUGGUUCUAUUUUGUUGGUUUUUAGGACCGCCGUAAUGAUUUAUAGGGACAGUCGGGGGCAUCAGAUUCAAUUGUCAGAGGUGAAAUUCUUGGAUUUAUUGAAGACUAACUACUGCGAAAGCAUUUGCCAAGGAUGUUUUCAUUAAUCAGGAACGAAAGUUAGGGGAUCGAAGACGAUCAGAUACCGUCGUAGUCUUAACCAUAAACUAUGCCGACUAGGGAUCGGACGAUGUUACAUUUUUGACGCGUUCGGCACCUUACGAGAAAUCAAAGUGCUUGGGCUCCAGGGGGAGUAUGGUCGCAAGGCUGAAACUUAAAGAAAUUGACGGAAGGGCACCACCAGGGGUGAGCCUGCGGCUAAUAUACCCG